CCAAUAGCGUAUAUUAAAGUUGUUGCAGUUAAAAAGCUCGUAGUUGAAUUUCUGUCAGGAGUGACCGGGCCUUUGGAUGAACUUCCAUUGUUUUUUGCUCUGUUUGUCAUCUCUAGACAUCCUGAAAUAUUUUUUAAAAAUAUUUCUCUUUUACUGUUAGCAAAAUAGAGUGUUCCAAGCAAAGCGUAGUUUUGAAUACAUUAGAAUGGAAUAAUAAGAUAGGACUUUGGUGCUAUUUUGUUGGUUUGCACACCAAGGUAAUGAUUAAUAGGGACAGUUGGGGGUAUUCGUAUUUAAUUGUCAGAGGUGAAAUUCUUGGAUUUAUGAAAGACGAACUACUGCGAAAGCAUUUACCAAGGAUGUUUUCAUUAA
rnacentral:rRNA from 1 species